rnacentral:rRNA from 1 species
UACGCAGGGUGCAAGCGUUAAUCGGAAUUACUGGGCGUAAAGCGUGCGCAGGCGGUUGUGCAAGACAGAUGUGAAAUCCCCGGGCUUAACCUGGGAAUUGCAUUUGUGACUGCACGGCUAGAGUGUGUCAGAGGGGGGUAGAAUUCCACGUGUAGCAGUGAAAUGCGUAGAUAUGUGGAGGAAUACCGAUGGCGAAGGCAGCCCCCUGGGAUAACACUGACGCUCAUGCACGAAAGCGUGGGGAGCAAACAGG